rnacentral:rRNA from 1 species
GUUCAGAUACAUGUUACUCCUGGAGCAUCAAGUGUGCUCAGAGGUUACCUUGUUACGACUUCACCCCAGUCAUAGAUCUCAUGCGUGUCCUUUUCACUAUACGGUUAAGCUAACUACUUCUGGUAAAACCCCCUCCCAUGGUGUAGCGACAAACAGGUGUGCCUACGAGCCACAGAACGUAUUCACCGCGACAUACUGAUCCACACGCGAUUACUGGUUGACUUAAAGUCGAGUUGCAGACUGCCGAUCCGGACUACGAUCGGGACUCUGGGAUUGGCUCACCUCCGGGUUGGCGACCUCUGUCCCGACAAACUAUCUCGUACAUCUUGACCCUACCCAUAAGGGCCAUGAGGACUUGACGUCAUCUACCACGCCUGGUUUAUGCAGCAAUCAUUAGAGUGCCCUUUCGCUCCUUAAUAAAGGUUUGCGCUCGUUGCGGGACUUAACCCAACAUCUCGACACGAGCUGACGACAGCCAUGCGGCACCUGUGUUCCGGUUCUCUUGCGAGCACUCCCAAAUCUUCCAGGGAUUCCAGACAUGUCAGGUAGUCGGGACUUUGUUGCAUCGAAUUAAUCAUCCACAGCGUGGGUCCCAAUCAAUUCGCACAGGUUUAAUCUUGACCAAUGGCAACCCCAGGCGGUCGCUUCAUGAUUAACUACUUUAAAUAAAGGCCCCAACGGCUAGUGUGACAUCGUUUAGGGCGUGGACUGCAAGUUAUCUAAUCUGUUUGCUCCCCACGCUUUCGUGCAUGAGCGUCAGUGUUGUCCCCCAGAGGCUACCUUAUAUCAGUGUUCCUCGCAUAUCUACGCAUUUCACUGCUGCAUGAAAUUCCGCACUCCUCUGGCUCCCUCUAAACUCGGUGGUCAAAAACCGGAUCAAAGUUGAAAUGCUGGGAUUUACAUCUCUUCCGAGCUUCCGCCUACACACCCUUGCCUUACCAGCGGGCUCGGACCGCUGCCACCGCCGUAUUACCCGCGGCUGCUUUUGGCGUAGUUGCCAGUGCUUAUUCUACGGGUACCGUCAGUUGCACGGGGUAUCCUCCCGAUACCAUUCUUUCCUACAAAAGUGCCCUGGCAAAGGUAUUCCAACACUUAUGAGAUAAGCGCUGGAUCAGUUUCUGACGACUCAAAAUUGCCCCUGCUGCCUCGGCGCCGGAAGUCUGGUGAGCCGUCAUCUCAGUCCCAGAUGUGGCUGGUCGUCCUCUCAAACCAGCUACGGAUCGUCGCGCCUUGGUGAGCCGUUACCCCACCAACUAGCUAAUCCGAUAUCAGCCCCGCUCUAAUAAAUUGCGAGGCCCGAAGGUCCCCCGCUUUCCCCGAAGGGCGUAUGCGGUAUUAGCUACGCUCGCAUGGGUGUCUACCGCUACUGAGCACGAUUCGAUACGGCUACUCACCGGUCCAACCACUCCUUCACCAGAGCCGAAGUCCGUGCGCCGUUCGACUGCAUGUGCCGGCAUCCAUAAAGCGUUAAAUCAAACAGGAUCAACC